AAAGAGUAUUUGAGAGGAAGUUCACUGAAAUGGAUAAAGCAUUGGCCUUGGAGCGAGGAAGACCUGGAUUCUGCCUCUUGGAUGUUUAAAAGUUGUGUCAUCUUGGAUCUCUGUGACGAUCUCUUGCUCAUCUGUAAAGUGGUGGGCUUGGAUUCAAACUAUUACGGCUGGGCUUCUGUCCUCUCAACUGCAUUCUGGAAAUUUGGAGUGUUGUAUUAUUCCACCAUCUCAGCAGCACCUUUCAGUCCCUCGUGACCUCAUGUUAGAUUCUUCUUUUCAAAUUGCCCCUUCAAAGCUUCUUACUCAGGAAACAUGCGAUUGCCUAAUUUUGCCAAACAAUUAGAAGCAUGCAAACACCACAGGGUCAUAGAUAUUCAUUUACGCUCACUUACACCCAGCUACCAUUAUCUAAGGGCACAUAAAGCCCGAUGAGUUCUGCUUUUGGCCUACUUGCCCAGAAGUUACAAACACAGCAUGAAACACAUGUCAUCCCACCCAAGGGCAUUAUCUAACAAUCAUUACAUAGCUACUUCUGUUUGCAAGAUGACACAAUUUGGCUGUUUAAAUAUUAGACUUCUUAGCUACCAAGAAACGUGCCAAAUAAAUUACUCGACUUAUAUUGCUACAAAACCCAACACCUAAUAAAGCUAACCAGAUGUCCAAAUACAUUCUCUUACAAACUCCUAUACUAGAGAAUAAUGGAAGACAAUCCAUCUCCUCGAAGUAAGAGCGGGGCAGGCACUGUUAGAGAGAAGACAUCAAAGAAUGAUAAAGAUUCCAGAACCAAGUAAACUGCAGGUAAAUCCUCAGAAGAAUGCUCUUUGAGUAUAAUUGAAGCCGAAGAAAAAAAAAGUUUGACUCCGCUGACCCUGGAGGUAGAAGACUCCCCACUGGUCAAAAAGUGUGUGUGAGGAGGACUCUACACAGUGGGAUUCCCUCCCUCCCCAGUUAUCUCACAUCCAACUUUUGUAUUUGUUCUGUCUAUAUUUGCACAUGUGCUUUUUGUAUCUGCAGAACCUUGCCUGACAGAUAGAGGCACUUAAUAAAUGCUUCUUGAGUGA